CUUCGGAGUGAGCGGCGGACGGGUUAGUAACGCGUGGGAACGUGCCCUUCUCUAAGGAAUAGCCACUGGAAACGGUGAGUAAUACCUUAUACGCCCUUCGGGGGAAAGAUUUAUCGGAGAAGGAUCGGCCCGCGUUAGAUUAGAUAGUUGGUGGGGUAAUGGCCUACCAAGUCUACGAUCUAUAGCUGGUUUUAGAGGAUGAUCAGCAACACUGGGACUGAGACACGGCCCAGACUCCUACGGGAGGCAGCAGUGGGGAAUCUUGGACAAUGGGCGCAAGCCUGAUCCAGCCAUGCCGCGUGAGUGAUGAAGGCCUUAGGGUCGUAAAGCUCUUUCGCCAGAGAUGAUAAUGACAGUAUCUGGUAAAGAAACCCCGGCUAACUCCGUGCCAGCAGCCGCGGUAAUACGGAGGGGGUUAGCGUUGUUCGGAAUUACUGGGCGUAAAGCGCACGUAGGCGGAUCAGAAAGUAUAGGGUGAAAUCCCAGGGCUCAACCCUGGAACUGCCUUGUAAACUCCUGAUCUUGAGUUCGAGAGAGGUAAGUGGAAUUCCGAGUGUAGAGGUGAAAUUCGUAGAUAUUCGGAGGAACACCAGUGGCGAAGGCGGCUUACUGGCUCGAUACUGACGCUGAGGUGCG
rnacentral:rRNA from 1 species